UCAGGGCUGUGGCUCAGUGAUAGAGUAUCAGCUCUGUAGGCAGGAGGUUCUAGGUUCAAUCCCCGGUAUCUGAG